GACGAACGCUGGCGGCGUGCUUAACACAUGCAAGUCGAACGGAAAGGCCCUGCUUUUGUGGGGUUCACGUUUGGCGAACGGGUGAGUAACACGUGAGUAUCCUGCCCUUGACUUUGGGAUAACUUCAGGAAACUGGGGCUAAUACCGGAUAUGAUCUCCUGCUGCAUGGUGUGGGUUGGUAAGUUUCGGCGGUUGUGGAUGGAUUCGCGGCUUAUCAGCUUGUUUGUGUGGUAGUGGCUUACCAAGGGUUUGACGGAUAGCCUGCCUGAGAGGGUGACCGGCGACAUGGGGACUGAGAGAGGGCCCAGAAUCCUACGGGAGGCAGCAGUGGGGAGUAUUGCGCAAUGGGCGGACGCGUGAUGCAGCAACGCCGCGUGCGGGAUGAUGGCCUUCGGGUUGUAAACCGCUUUGGAAUGUGACGAGGCGUGAGUGACGGUAAUGGGUCAAGAAGCAACGGCUAACUACGUG
rnacentral:rRNA from 1 species